rnacentral:rRNA from 1 species
AUUGAACGCUGGCGGCAGGCCUAACACAUGCAAGUCGAGCGGAUGAAGGGAGCUUGCUCCUGGAUUCAGCGGCGGACGGGUGAGUAAUGCCUAUGAAUCUGCCUGGUAGUGGGGGAUAACGUCCGGAAACGGGCGCUAAUACCGCAUACGUCCUGAGGGGGAAAGUGGGGGAUCUUCGGACCUCACGCUAUCAGAUGAGCCUAGGUCGGAUUAGCUAGUUGGUGGGGUAAAGGCCUACCAAGGCGACGAUCCGUAACUGGUCUGAGAGGAUGAUCAGUCACACUGGAACUGAGACACGGUCCAGACUCCUACGGGAGGCAGCAGUGGGGAAUAUUGGACAAUGGGCGGAAGCCUGAUCCAGCCAUGCCGCGUGUGUGCAGAAGGUCUUCGGAUUGUAAAGCACUUUACGUUGGGAGGAAGGGCAGUAAGUUAAUCCCUUGCUGUUUUGACGUUACCAACAGAAUAAGCACCGGCUAACUUCGUG